rnacentral:rRNA from 1 species
ACUAAUACCGGAUAAUAUUACGAACCGCAUGGUUCUAUAGUGAAAGAUGGUUUUGCUUAUCACUUAUAGAUGGACCCGCGCCGUAUUAGCUAGUUGGUAAGGUAACGGCUUACCAAGGCACGAUACGUAGCCGACCUGAGAGGGUGAUCGGCCACACUGGAACUGAGACACGGUCCAGACUCCUACGGGAGGCAGCAGCGG